AUAACUACUGGAAACGGUAGAUAAUCCUCAUACGCCAUAAGAGGGAAAGCAGGGGCCUUCGGACCUUGCGCGAUUGGAUGAACCCAGNUGGGAUUAGCUAGUUGGUGAGAUAAAUGACUCACCAAGGCGACGAUCCCUAGCUGGUCUGAGAGGAUGAUCACCCACACUGGAACUGAGACACGGUCCAGACUCCUACGGGAGGCAGCAGUGGGGAAUAUUGCACAAUGGGGGAAACCCUGAUGCAGCCAUGCCGCGUGUGUGAAGAAGUCCUUCGGUUGUAAAGCACUUUCAGCGAGGAGGAAAGGUUGGUAGCUAAUAACUGCCAGCUGUGACGUUACUCGCAGAAGAAGCACCGGCUAACUCCGUGCCAGCAGCCGCGGUAAUACGGAGGGUGCAAGCGUUAUUCGGAAUUACUGGGCGUAAAGCGCGCGCAGGCGGUUUGAUAAGUUAGAUGUGAAAGCCCCGGGCUCAACCCGGGAAUUCAUUUAAAACUGUCCAGACUAUGAGUCUUGUAGAGGGGGGUAGAAAUUUCCAGUGUGUAGCGGUGAAAUGCGUAGAGAUUUGGAGGGAAUCACACGGUGGGCGAAAGGGCGGACCUCCCUGGAUCAAAGACUGACCGCUGCAGGCGCGAAAGGCCGUGGGAGCAAACCAGUU
rnacentral:rRNA from 1 species